ensembl:lncRNA
CUAACAUAGUCUCAUUCUGUUCAGAACAACCCAGGGUAUGACGACAAUCAUCUGGUAACUACAUCAACCAUAGUCUCAUUCUGUUCAGAACAACCCAGGGUAUGACGAUAAGUCAUCUGGUAACUGUACUCACAGGCGAUGCAUGACAUCAAAGCGAUAUUUAUUAUAAUCCUCAACAUAAUGCAUAUUGUCCUCUUAAUUGACAGCAUUUUCACUCAGACAACAAAACAUUUGCAAAAGUUACGAGGAGGGAUGGGUUGCAGCUUUACGUUGCGUGAGGUUCUCAAGUUCAGAAUGUCUGUCAGUCAAAACUCAUACAUCGCUGUGAUGAGCAUUACGUUCCAAUUUAGGUAUUUAUUGGUGCCCAAAUCUGCCAUUUUCAACCCGGAUGGAUACGAGUACGAGUGUAAAGGGUUAAGGUUAGGAUUGGGGGAGGGGAAGCUGAUCCUAGAUCUGUACCUAGGGAGCUUAGUCCUGUGCGAUGUUGAAUGUCUGGGGUUAGAGGUUAGAGAUCGGGGUUUAAAGGUCAGGGGUCAGUCCACUUGCAUGUUACGUAGCAGCAGUCCUUUCUUCACCCCUCCCUGCAGCAUCCUGGCACCUAGACUACUGCCAGCCGUACCAUCA